rnacentral:rRNA from 1 species
CUACGGGGGGCUGCAGUGAGGAAUAUUGCGCAAUGGAGGCAACUCUGACGCAGCAACGCCGCGUGAGUGAAGACGGCCCGAUGGGUUGUAAAGCUCUGUAAGUGGGGAAGAGAAGGUUGCUAUAUGCAACUUGGACGGUACCCGCAAAGUAAGCUCCGGCUAACUCCGUGCCAGCAGCCGCGGUAAUACGGGGGGAGCGGGCGUUGUCCGGAUUUAUUGGGCGUAAAGGGCAUGUAGGCGGGACAGUAAGUCAGUGGUGAAAUGUAACGGCUCAACCGUUAACCUGCCAUUGAAACUACUGUUCUUGAGUUCAGGAGAGGGAAACGGAAUUCCAGGUGUAGCGGUGGAAUGCAUAGAUAUCUGGAAGAACACCGAAUGCGAAGGCAGUUUCCUGGCCAUGGACUGACGCUGAUGUGCGAAAGCGUGGGUAGCAAACAGGAUUAGAUACCCUGGUAGUC